ACCACUUUCAUAAGGCUGAAAUGGAGAAAGCGAUAUCAGCAUAUAGGAUCCUUGCCUGGUUGUGAUACCAUUAAUUUUGGACCCUUUGAGAUCUUCGUCAGUUUCAAUGUGACACACGUGGAGUUGUCACUGGUCUAGAAUACUAGGAGCUACUAUCCUAACCUCGCCUUCAGUGAUGCCGUUGUGGUACUAAGGGACCAUCGUGCAGGCUACGAAAGGGCAGUUUUCCAGAAAUAAUGCUCGAACGCAGAUACAAUCAAUCCUAGCCCAAACGUCCAAGAUGUGAAACACUUAAUGGCGCUGGCAAAGAGCCCCAGUAGCCAUUUUAUUUGAUGAUCGGACGUCCUAGCAGUCUUGGUUUUUAAAGGCACAGCUCGUCUGAAAAAAUUAGAGAAUGUGGAAUGGUCAUGAUAUACUGAAUGUAAGAGGAAUGUCAUCUAAUAAUGUACUCGAGUUUUUUUGGAUAUUGAGAAUUUUUGCGGUUCAUGGGUCGCAGAUGUGAGUCGGAUGUAAUUGCAUUUAGUAAGUUUUAUUUUUUCACUUAUGACAGUGAACCAUUUUAUUUCAGUAGCUUAAGAGAAUAAGUGAAGUCCAGUAUGAUCAUUCAUAAUUCCAUUAAAAAAUCAAUUGAAUAAGAUGAAUUGUGGUUCUGUAUGAAAAAUUAGUCUGCCUCUACAGUUAUAUUUUAAAAAAAAAUUGCAUAUCCACAUGUUUUAUCCACAUUCUAAAUGCAGAUAGGUAUUGCCACCACUUAUGGCCGUCUGUGUUUCAUUUCAAUUUUAGUGAUGUAGUCGUUUUUCAAAUUUGUGCUUUUGAUGACGUGGAGUUGUUCGUCAGUAUAGCGUUUGAGAAGAUCAUAUCCAGCACACUAACUAUAUCUAACAACCCUCACAACUUUGUAAAAUCUGGCUUGAUGUAAAUUCUUUUACAUGAAGAGGUUUUACAUUGAUAGCUUGUGCAAAAUCUGUGAAAUAUUUUACGUUUGAAAAAAUACUUCAUUAUUUUUUGCACACAGUCUGCUCCUCGUGAGGGAUGACUGGGUGCACACAGUCAUCUCUCAAGAUAGAGGAUCGCACAUUACUAAUAUUAUGAUUUUCUCAAGUGUUAUGGUUGACAAAUAUAUCCAGUUCAUCACAUAUGCACCUUCUUUUCUCCGGAUCAAAAAAUUCCUAUUGAAAUUUACAUGGACGGUCAUACAGUUUAAGAUACGAAAUAUUUUGAAGCAAGCUUGCUUUAUGCUUUAUUUGUAUCAUACAGGAAGUUGCGUUUUCAUGGCAAAACUACAUUUGAGAAACUUCUAUUUUAAAACGAGUUAUAUGUCAAAGUCUAGUUUAAAUCAUUGAGUGCCCGAGUUUUAAUCAUAUAACCUGAAUCUCUGUACGUAUUUUAUACUUGGAUUUUAAUCAAGUUAUGAUGGAUGUUUUCACUUGUAAAAUGAUAGAGUCACUUUAUUUAUGAAUUUAUCCACUUGGAUAAAGUUCUCUUUUUAAUUAUGUUAUGACUGUAGUAAAUGUGUCUUGAUUGGCUGCAGUACCUCUUUCUGUAUGAAUUACUUUGGUAAAUUCUUGUACUUCGUCAUGUGACGUACCAGUAUAGUGUGGAAUAGUUUGUUGUCACGAAAGAAAGACUUAGUUCGAUCAGUCGCACCAUGCUGUUUAAAAGGGAACGAUAUUAUUGAACUGUAAAGUGCAGUGCAAAUGAAAAAAAAAACUGAUGUUAUUAUAUUAUAAAGACUGACUAUCCGGGCGUGGGCACUUUCCCGGCAUUCCCCACGAAGGGUUUAGACGGGUUUUUCCCCACGGCCCGCAAGCAGCGGGUACCAGCUUCCGACCACAAGACCAGCAUUAUCGGACUGUUUGCAUUUUGAUGUUAGAUGAUUAAAGACGGGAAAGGAAACAAUUUCAAUAGUUCUACCAUUUAUUAA